ensembl:miRNA predicted gene, 27320
GAGAGACCGGCGGCGGUCUGCACUGAGCCCUGUGCCCAAGGACUCCCCCUCUGGUUCAAAGGCUGCCUGGCGCAGGGCCUGCAGCUGGUCCCGCUGCUCCUGGAGGUAA